GGUCAUAAUACACAAAAACUAUCAUUAAUGUUAUUAAAUAGACAACAACUAUACAUUGUGUUAGCAUCUCUGAUAUACGAUGUAUUCAAUGUACUGGGUGGCAUUUAGCUAUGGUUAUAAUUUACAUGACAGGUUCACUUUAAGAAUUCUGAUUGUUUCGUCAGUUCUACUUUGGACCCAGAGCUGUGUGAUGACACAGCAGCAGCCCACUUAACCCAUCAAUCCAGAACUGAGCGUUGCAG